rnacentral:tRNA from 1 species
CCCACUGUAGCUCAGUUGGUAGAGCAUGGCACUUGCAAUGCCAGGGUUGUGGGUUCGAUUCCCAUGGGGGGC